rnacentral:lncRNA from 1 species
GGUCCCCAUGAACUCCGCAGCGCCCCCUCUGGCCCCACCUCGCCGCCUGCCCUUCGCCGCCGGACCGGCCCAGUCCCGCCUCCCUCCCCUCCCCGCGGCAGCUUCUGCAGAGAAACGAAACCAAAGCCCGGGCGGGGCGGACCCGAAAGCGACCAGCUGGGAUUUCCCGGGGCCUGGCGCGUCCCGUCGGGCCGAGCGUGUGGCCGCCCGCCUGGCUCCGGCUGGGCCCUCUGACCCCGAUGGGCGACCCCGGGGGUCUCGCCUGGGGCAGCAGGAAGGUCUGGCUCGCCGUGGCCAUUGUGGAACUCGCCAUCGUCCUCAUCCUGGCAGCCGGGCUGGGCCACUUUGUGGCCACGGAGCAGUGGCUGCACAGCGACGUGCUGGGCCUGCGGGAGGAGCUGGCCCGUGCCAACUGGACCCUGCAGGAGAUGCAGGAGAGCUCUGACGUGUGCAGGAACCACACGCAUGUCCUGCAGAAGAAUGUCAUCAACCUGACCCAGGAGGUCACCCGGUUAAAUAGCGACAUUGCCCAGCAAGAGGUGGAAAAAGGCAGGUUACAAGGGAUCAGUACCACAGGGAGGUCAGCUGGCUACAGCAGCAGCUCCAAAGACACCAGGAACUUCGCUCCAGUGUGGGCAGUGCCAGGCUCCCCCCCCUCCUGCCUCUGCUGGCAGCCCCCCUCGCUGCACUGCUUGUCUGAACGGAGCCAGGCAGGGAGCAGAGUCAGCACCCAGGACGGAGUCCCCCAGCUGAGAGACCGGGACUCUCCCAGGGAAUAAGCAGCACUGGACCCUGUGGCCGGCACAUGCUCCUCGUGGAGGAAGCCUCAUCUCCUGCCAGAGGACUGUUUACUGAGGGGGGGGGGGCUGUGACGGACGAGGGGGACGCAGUGACAAGUCCAUGGAUGGAGAUGACCCUGCACUACAGUUUAGACACGUCACCCAAAGCCCCAGAUGACAGUUGCACCAAGUUGGGCCUGUGACAUCCUACUUGGGUAGGAAACACCAAUGGACCGCCGACAUUUUUUCAGAGGUGGCCACUGAUUUGGGGUGCCCGGUUUUGGGGUGCCCCUGGCCCCCACAUGAGUCACACCCAGUCUGGGACCCAGCGACAGCAUCACCUGCUCUCACGCUUAGGGAAAGGGGAGGGGGGAUUAAAGUGACUAACAACCCAGCCCUCGGCCGGGAGAACGUUGGCAGAAUAAAUAGGCUUUGCUAUUCA